UAGGACAGUGGCAAUUUUUACAGUUUUCACCCCCUAUAACUCUCCCCAUUCAUUAGUCCCUCUCUAUGGCUCUACCCCUUCUCAGACAAAACAUGUUUCAGUUUCUUGCCAUUCAUUUCAUUAGAAUGUCAGUUAAUUAUUCAAAUGAAUUGCACCAUGGGAAUUCACCCUCAGGUACACAUGAAGAAAUGUUCAACAUCUCUGACCAUAGAAGAGCAAAUCAAAACAACACUGAGAUUCUAUCUCACUCCAAUUAGAAUGGUAAU